CGCAAUCGCCAGGGAAUUGAGACAGUUAAAUUUCACUAAAAUUGUUUCAUUAGCACCGGAGGUAUUAUAAGACGAGACUCUGGCAUAGCUAUAUUAUUUGUGAAUAAAAUAGAUUCAUUAAUAAAUUAUAUCUCGACACAUAUACCUUUUGUAGUAAUUUUUAUAUUAUUCUCUCUCUCUCGAUAUAUAUAUAUAUUUCAUAAAGAUUUGAUCACCUCAAUAAAAUAAAUAAAAAAAGAUAUCAAUAUUUUAGAAUAAACAAUAGAAAAAGGAGCACGUUGAUUAUAUUAAAAAUCAGGGAUAAGAAUCAUUUUCGUUUAUCAUGGGUAAGGACAUCAUCGCUGACAUAAUAACCUCUAUACGAAAUGCUGACAUGAAUAGAAAAGUAAUGGUUCAAAUACCAUUUACUAACAUUAACG